GGUCUUCAGGGCGGGGUGUGAUUCCCCACUGGCGGUAUAGUCCGCGACCGGGCGCGAUUUCAGUAAACUGAUGUUGCGCCCGCUGACCCGGUGAAACUCCGGGACCAACGGUAAUAGUCCGGAUGGAAGAAGAUG
rnacentral:ncRNA from 1 species